GCAGUUUCUUCCUGGAUUGUAUUGUUUCGAAAUAUGCAUCAUAGCUGGCGAUUUUUUCCGUCUCUUUGUCCCCUUUGGCUUCUGACAUUUUUCUCUGGUACACAAUGGGCAGAUACAGAGCAAUUCAAUUGCCUAAUAGCGGUACGUAUCAUCUUGCUAUACGUAUCAUCUUUCUCCAAAUUCAAAGUCUUUUCAUACGUUAUUCAUACUUUUGCUACAAUAAUUAACUGCUAGUCCUAUGCAUGAUUAUUCAUCAGAAUCAAAGAUCAUGGUUAGUUAGUUAGCCAUUGCCAGAUCCUGAGAUCAUGAACGCAUGCAUGAUUCCUAUUCUGCAAAAAUCAUAACCAUUUCCAGGCUACAUUGAAAACUCUCCAUCUUCUUUUAGGAUCCGAAACGGGUUUGGCUUAUUUCUACGACUCAGAUUCAUGAAUUGCCACAUAGCAUCCGUCGAUUUGUAUCAAUAGAGGUGAGCGAUCCAGAAAAGUUACCUUAAUGCAGGAAGGGAGAAACAAUGAAGAUCCGGAAGAACUCUUUACGUUCAAAGAGGCAGAAGAAUUCAGAAAGAGUUUAAAAGGGCUUCCUUGAAUUCAGAUUCUUUGCUGAUGAUCAUGGACGGUUAGCUCCUUUUUCUUUGGUUUUGUUUCCACUCUGCUUUGCAUUGUUUUUGGCUUCCUGCUGCUACGUGCCUGAGUUUUAGUCCUCUUGACGUGUCUUAGCAUUCGUGGUGCAAUAACCACAAUUUCAGAUCCAAAAGCCAUAUACUGGAUUAUGGGCUGGUUCCAAUUGGGCCCAACAUAUGAUUUGGGCCUGAUCGGUCCAACUUAGCGUAGUGGAUGAUGGGGAGUUGGAGCAUUGGUUCUGUGCUUCAGUUGUGGUGCUCGCAGUGAUUUGGCACAUCUGGCUGGAUCGCAAUCAUCGUAUCUUUCGAGAUUCUUGUUUCUCAGCGGGGCAGAUGGCUAGAAAGGUCGGUGUUGCGACGGUCCGAUGGCUUGUUGAAAAAUGCCUCAAUGAGUUGGUUUCGUAGCAGACCGCUUCAUGAGCUAGACUAAUUUAUGUAUACAUCCUUUUUUGUCGAACACCUUAUAUUCUUUCUAACCGAAAAUGACGGUGCAAUGAAGAAAUCAACACUCGGUGGUAUUUUAUGCAUCCCAAUUGCAUUUUCAUCGUAGCAAAGCUUAUAUUUAUUUACUUUAGUCCUAACUAACUAGCUCAUUUUUCCCGCCAUACGCCUAACGCCUUUUUGAACCUUCGGUUUAAACCUCUUGCUAACAAAAACCAGUAGAGCAUGAACAUAGAUAACCC
rnacentral:lncRNA from 1 species